GAAGCGGCAACAGCUCAAAUUUGAAAUCUGGCCUCCUUCAAGUGGUCCGAGUUGUAAUUUGCAGAGGGUGCUUUGGCGUCGGCAGCGGUCUAAGUUCCUUGGAACAGGACAUCACAGAGGGUGAGAAUCCCGUACGUGGUCGCCUGCCUUCGCCGUGUAAAGCCCCUUCGACGAGUCGAGUUGUUUGGGAAUGCAGCUCUAAAUGGGAGGUAAAUUUCUUCUAAAGCUAAAUACUGGCCAGAGACCGAUAGCGCACAAGUAGAGUGAUCGAAAGAUGAAAAGCACUUUGGAAAGAGAGUCAAACAGCACGUGAAAUUGUUGAAAGGGAAGCGCUUGCCGCCAGACUUGCCCGUAGUUGCUCAUCGGAACUCUUUGCUCCGAGCACUCUUCUGCGGGCAGGCCAGCAUCAGUUUGGGCGACCGGAUAAAGGCCUCUGUCAUGUAUCUUCCUUCGGGAUGACCUUAUAGGGGAGGCGUAAUGCGGCCAGCCCGGACUGAGGUCCGCGCAUCUGCUAGGAUGCUGGCGUAAUGGCUGUAAGCGGCCCGUCUUGAAACACGGACCAAGGAGUCUAACAUCUAUGCGAGUGUUUGGGUGUCAAGCCCGGGCGCGUAAUGAAAGUGAACGGAGGUGGGAACCCUCUUCGGGGGGUGCACCAUCGACCGAUCCUGAUGUCUUCGGAUGGAUUUGAGUAAGAGCAUAGCUGUUGGGACCCGAAAGAUGGUGAACUAUGCUUGAAUAGGGUGAAGCCAGAGGAAACUCUGGUGGAGGCUCGCAGCGGUUCUGACGUGCAAAUCGAUCGUCAAAUUUGGGCAUAGGGGCGAAAGACUAAUCG
rnacentral:rRNA from 1 species